rnacentral:lncRNA from 1 species
AAAGCCUUUGGUGUUGGCGCUGGACAGUUCAUGAGAAUUAGGGAAAAACAAAUGCAGGUUCGCUGGACGCUUUGGUGUUGGCGAUGGUGCUGGAUGGUUCGCUAGACGGUCGAAAGCUACAAAUUCCGUAACUUUACAGGUGCAAAGAAGUGGCGUACGAUUGCCUUUUGGUGCCAGCGUCGGAGGCUCUGAAGGAUUGGGUGCCAACGUUGGAGGCUCUGAGUG